UACGGAGGAAGCUAGCGUUGUUCGGAAUUACUGGGCGUAAAGCGCACGUAGGCGGCUACUCAAGUCGGGGGUGAAAGCCCGGGGCUCAACCCCGGAACUGCCCUCGAAACUAGGUAGCUAGAAUCUUGGAGAGGUCAGUGGAAUUCCGAGUGUAGAGGUGAAAUUCGUAGAUAUUCGGAAGAACACCAGUGGCGAAGGCGACUGACUGGACAAGUAUUGACGCUGAGGUGCGAAAGCGUGGGGAGCAAACAGG
rnacentral:rRNA from 1 species